CAUACCUAUUCGAAGGGAUAGGGUCGGUUUGGCCGGAUUUCACACAGGUGUUGCAUGGCUGUCGUCAGCUCGUGUCGUGAGAUGUUGGGUUAAGUCCCGCAACGAGCGCAACCCUCAUCCUUAGUUACCAUCAGGUAAUGCUGGGGACUUUGGGGAAACUGCCAGUGAUAAACUGGAGGAAGGUGGGGAUGAUGUCAAGUCAUCAUGGCCCUUAUGGAGUGGGCUACACACGUGCUACAAUAGUGGCUACAAUGGGCUGCAAAGUCGCGAGGCUAAGCCAAUCCCUUAAAAGCCAUCUCAGUUCGGAUUGUACUCUGCAACUCGAGUGCAUGAAGUUGGAAUCGCUAGUAAUCGUGGAUCAGCACGCCACGGUGAAUACGUUCUCGGGUCUUGUACACACUGCCCGUCACGCCAUGGGAAUUGGUUUCACUCGAAGCU
rnacentral:rRNA from 1 species